rnacentral:rRNA from 1 species
UACGUAGGGUGCGAGCGUUAUUCGGAAUUACUGGGCGUAAAGCGAGCGUAGGUGGCUUGAUAAGUCAGAUGUGAAAGCCCCGGGCUUAACCUGGGAACGGCAUCUGAUACUGUUAGGCUAGAGUAGGUGAGAGGAAGGUAGAAUUCCAGGUGUAGCGGUGAAAUGCGUAGAGAUCUGGAGGAAUACCGAUGGCGAAGGCAGCCUUCUGGCAUCAUACUGACACUGAGGUUCGAAAGCGUGGGUAGCAAACAGG